rnacentral:rRNA from 1 species
GACGAACGCUGGCGGCGUGCCUAAUACAUGCAAGUAGAACGCUGAAGGAGGAGCUUGCUUCUCCGGAUGAGUUGCGAACGGGUGAGUAACGCGUAGGUAACCUGCCUGGUAGCGGGGGAUAACUAUUGGAAACGAUAGCUAAUACCGCAUAAGAGUAGAUGUCGCAUGACAUUUGCUUAAAAGGUGCAACUGCACCACUACCAGAUGGACCUGCGUUGUAUUAGCUAGUUGGUGAGGUAACGGCUCACCAAGGCAACGAUACAUAGCCGACCGGAGAGGGUGAGCGGCCAGACUGGGACUGAGACACGGCCCAGACGCCUGCGGGAGGCAGCAGUAGGGAAUCUUCGGCAAUGGACGGGAGUCUGACCGAGCAACGCCGCGUGAGUGAAGAAGGGUGUCGGAUCGUAAAGCUCUGUUGUAAGAGAAGAACGAGUGUGAGAGUGGAAAGUUCACACUGUGACGGUAUCUUACCAGAAAGGGACGGCUAACUACGUG